AUGUUUUCUGUUCAAACCCUGAUCGUUGCUGCUCUCCUGGCAGAGCUGGGCCUUGUGGUGGAGUCUUCCUGUUGGGAGGGCGCCAGAUCCUCCAGCUUCGAUCUCUCCAGCGCGUCAGACCAGAGCCGACUUCACAACUCGCCGGUCCAUCGGGCCGUCAGGACGAGGAGACCACUGGGGAGCACGAGCUUCCUGUUAGGACCCCUCAGCCACUCGGCAGAGAAGUCAGUGUCAGUCCCAUCUAACUCAAGCCAUGUGUCCUCAUGGUCCCAAUGGUCCACUUUUUCAUUGGACCCCAUGGUCAGGCUGGCGGUUCCGACUACAGCCUGCUCUUAGAUAACUGUCACUUCGGGGCAGGUCGGAUGAUGGACGACGACUGAUCUCUGGCGCCCUCUAUGGCUACAUCUUUUAACUGCAUCAAAAACUUCUUAUUAGCCUAGAAGGUUUAAGCGCCUCGUGCCUCGAAAACAUAUACAUUUCCACUUAAUUUCAUCCAUUCUCAGGCAUCUGACAAAAGCGUUCUCUUUCAAGCUGAAUCGUUAUGUUACUCCAGAAGCCUGGCAAUAUUCACUUUCAGACUAAAAUAAAUACAGAAAUCAAAUCCAAGUUGUCU
rnacentral:lncRNA from 1 species